CAGCCGCCCACGACCCGGAGCGAAGGUCUCGCGAGGCUUGGGCGCUGCGGCGGCAGGAGGAGGACGGGGAAGGACGGAGCCGAGCCGCGGCUGCCUCCUUCGCUCACUCCCUCGCGCACUCGCCCGCCCCCUCCCUCCCUCCCCUCCCUUCCCCGGCCCCGGCUCUGGCCCCGGCCCAUUUGCUGUUGGGUCUUCUGCUAGGGAGGAUGUCGGGCUCGUCGCUGCCCAGCACCCUGGCCCUCUCGUUGUUGCUGGUCUCUGGCUCCCUCCUCCCAGGGCCAGGCGCCGCUCAGAACGCUGGGUUUGUCAAGUCGCCCAUGUCAGAAACUAAGCUCACGGGGGACGCCUUUGAGCUGUACUGUGACGUGGUCGGGAGCCCCACGCCAGAGAUCCAGUGGUGGUACGCAGAAGUCAACCGGGCAGAGUCUUUCAGACAGCUGUGGGACGGUGCUCGGAAGCGCCGUGUCACCGUAAACACCGCCUACGGGUCAAACGGCGUGAGUGUGCUGAGAAUAACCCGGCUCACCUUGGAGGACUCUGGGACUUACGAGUGCAGGGCCAGCAACGACCCCAAGAGGAAUGACUUGAGGCAAAACCCCUCCAUAACAUGGAUUCGAGCCCAGGCCACCAUAAGCGUCCUUCAGAAGCCAAGGAUUGUCACCAGUGAAGAGGUCAUUAUUCGAGACAGCCCUGUUCUGCCUGUCACCCUGCAGUGUAACCUCACCUCCAGCUCUCACACCCUUACAUACAGCUACUGGACAAAGAAUGGGGUGGAACUGAGUGCCACUCGUAAGAAUGCCAGCAACAUGGAGUACAGGAUCAAUAAGCCGAGAGCUGAGGAUUCAGGCGAAUACCACUGCGUAUAUCACUUUGUCAGCGCUCCUAAAGCAAACGCCACCAUUGAAGUGAAAGCCGCUCCUGACAUCACUGGCCAUAAACGGAGUGAGAACAAGAAUGAAGGGCAGGAUGCCACGAUGUAUUGCAAGUCAGUUGGCUACCCCCACCCCGACUGGAUAUGGCGCAAGAAGGAGAACGGGAUGCCCAUGGACAUUGUUAAUACCUCUGGCCGCUUCUUCAUCAUCAACAAGGAAAAUUACACCGAGUUGAACAUCGUGAACCUGCAGAUCACAGAAGACCCUGGCGAGUAUGAAUGUAAUGCCACCAACGCCAUUGGCUCCGCCUCUGUUGUCACUGUCCUCAGGGUGCGGAGCCACCUGGCCCCACUCUGGCCUUUCUUGGGAAUUCUGGCUGAAAUUAUCAUCCUUGUGGUGAUCAUUGUUGUGUAUGAGAAGAGGAAGAGGCCAGAUGAGGUUCCUGACGAUCAUCAGGCAGAUUGAGCUUGAGGAGAAUCCAAGUCAAGCCUAGAAGCCACCCCAAGAUGGCAGGCCACCUGGCCUUUCAGGCAGAUUUAAGGUAUCUAACUGGUUGUCACAUGGUUGCCUGGUGUAGCCCCUGUAGGUAACUGCCCCAGCCCAGUCAGACUGUUCUCAGAAAAGCCAUUGGAACGAGCCAGCCUUUGGUUCCUUGGUUGGUCCCUUUGAUAGGUUUCCAAGGCUCUCUGCUGGGUGGCUUUCCAUCUGUGUCUCACAGACAAAGGAGAGUCUGAUGUAUCCACCCACCUAGUGUAAGACAGAGAUAGCGAAGGCGGAACAAAUGGAGUCCACGCCCCGAGGCUGUGCCCUCAAGCUGGCCUAGGGUCAGAGAAGGGAGGAGAUGGUAGCAGUAGAACCACAGCACACCACUGAGCACCGGAAAGAGCAAGAGCUGAAGUCUUAGGUUAUUGGAUAUGCCUAGAGUCAGAAAAGCCUUGGGAAAUUUUUGGUGAUCGAUUUUUCCUGUGAAGGGGGAAGCUGCUGAUGGAGACUUGUAUCUGCAGUACUUCAGGUUCCCAGCUGGCUCCCCAUCCCCACCCUAUAACAUGACCAGCGUACAGAAAUUAAUUGGCCGACUGUUACCACCACUAGUCUGUCCCUGGCUAGACUAGACGGAUGUGCCCCUGGGCUCAGUGGUAGCCGACCCGGGGUGAUGGUGGGGUUGCCAGCCACAGUCCAGCUGUUCUGGGGCCUGUGUUUGUGCACCUGUGGUGCUGUAUCCUGCCCCACAGAGCUGGCUGUCCAGUGGAGAAUACAAAGUGACGUCUGGUGCUCCCUCAGAAAGAGUGUGGCCCCAGAGGCAUGCCAGUGGCUUUAGACUCUCUGGGAGGACAUGUUUGAGAGCAACAGCCCCUUCCCCAUCUUUUCCUUUCUUCUCAGCAGUUCUAAAUCUCUCUGCCUGCAGUAAGUUGAGUGGCUGGUGAGGAGGUUUGUUGAUGACACUGACAAUAUCUGGUGACGCCCUCCAGAUGUGCACUCAGCAGUGAGCUGGGCAGAGGCGUGGGAGGGACAUUGGCUGGGAGCAGACAGCCUCUGCAAAUGAAUCUCUAGUUUCCUGCAACAUGGGAGUGUCCCCAGGAGUUUUACUUUCCUACUUUAUGAAGUGAACCUGCUUUCUUUGGGAUUUCAUGUACUCCUAAUGCUUUUUCUCUCCAGGUUAUUUCUCUUUCCUGCUACAUAUUAGGACUCCCAAGGCAACAGUGCACCUUUAUUUAGACCUGGGAGUAAAGGGAAAGAGUUGGCUUUCGUGUGUUUCCAGCUUUGGCUCUGUGGGAUCAGUUAUGCCUCAUUCCUGAAAAGGGCCUUUUUAUCCCCCCAGAAUGCUUUUGCUUUGCCAAUACCACCUUCCUCAGCCUGCCUUUUGGAAAGGUUGAGAAGCUAAAAAGUCAGGUAAGAGAAGGCAGAGAUGGGCUUCAGAACCUGAUUUUUAAAUUUUAAGGCAAGGCUGGCUGCCACUGAUGAGUGAUGCAGCAGCCUAGCGUGUUCCCAGCAGAGGUCUAGUCUUUGCCCUAAGAAGUCACCACGCUUAUGAGGUUGCUAUCGCAGUGCAUGUGGCAGGUUAGAUUUGAGAAAUGGUUAGGAUUGUUCUGUUGGACAAGUGCAGACACCUGCCCAGGGAAGCAGCUCUCUUUUUGUAAGAGUUUCUUGGUUACUGAAUUCAAAUGGGGGACCAGUUUGUUAUAGGAGACAUCUGUGGCCAGCAAAUCUGAACAGCUUCCUGGAGGGAAAGUACCUCUUUUAAACUAAGUUAUUAUAGACAGUGAACGAAUCCUACCCUUAAAAGAGAUGACGGCAGGGUAAGUGCAAAGUAAAACCUCCUUGCUCUAGUCUCUUGGGAGAGUAUUGUAAUGAAAGCAGCGUUUACUUCGUUGUUGUUGCAUUGGGGUGAAAAAUCUGAGAUGCUGGAAUGAUCGCAAUGUUUGCCUUCUCUCCUUCCCUUCCUGACAGCCAGUGUGGGCCAGGCUCCACUCUCCAUCUUCACACCUUGCCCUUGCUCCAGUAUUUCCAUUCUGUUUUUCUCCUCCGUCUCUUUCUCUCUUUCUCUCAAACUCCUCCCUGCUUCCACCCCUGCCCGCUUUUCUUCUUUCCUGGAAGUAAUCAUUAAACAAAAGAAAAAGUUGAAAUGUUCUUUGGUGAGUUUUCCUUCUUCUCUGCCUUUUCCUUCUUUAGCCGGUUCCCCUCAACCCCUGUGCACUCCAUAGGAAGGACAAACUUACCUGUCUGCUUUCUUCCCGUGUGCUCCUCCCCAAAUUUUCAUAUAGAUAUAUACAUACACUUCUUUUUGGAAUAAACGAAGAGGUACAUUAUAUUUGACACAAACUUGGGAGUGUUAGAGGUGAUAAGUGUUUACCUAUCAGAUAACCAUCUGUGGCUCUGUGUUGGAUUUUUUUUAUACCAUUAGGAAAAUGGGAAUUUUUUAAUAGGCCUGGCAUACUUCUGCUUUGCCAAGUAACACUUUAUUAUCAAGAUACACCCAUGGCUCAUUUCAGACUCACUGAACUUUUUUUAUAUGAAUGCAGUCUUCAUAUUUUGGGCAGUCUGUGAGUUCUUGGUAACUCAUCCCCUUACUACAAAAGCACCAAGUGAACAAUACAAAAGUAUAAAAGCACAAAUUUAAACUUACAUAGUUUAGUUUAAGUAUGUUUCACUAGAAAAUCAAAUAUUAAUUUAGAUUUCUCACAUUGAAAAUGCUUAGGAUUGAGGUUUAGCUGCUUCCUUUAAAAAAAAAAAAAAAAAGCCCCAUGUCUUUUUUCUUCACCUACUGGAGUAUUCUCAGACCAUUUCCUACAUGAAAGCUCCCACCUGCAUUCCUUUAGUCCCCUGUAUGGUCUCUUUGAGGAUCAGUGCCCACUAGGUUGUCUUGUAGGUGGACUAAUCUACAGAUCACCUUUACCUUCAGUAUUUUCAGGAACAAGUGAAUGAUGGAGUCAAAUAAGAGCUUUGUUUUGUUCACUUUACUCACCACUUGACUGUAUUCCCUGAAAACGUUAAAUGAUAAUUCUCUAAAAAGACCAGGUCAAGCUAGCAGCCUCUAGCCUUCCAUCCAUGUCACAGCUGGGCACCUGCUUGGGUGCACCUUCUGUGCUGGUGUCCUGCCGACUGCAAUCCAGGAGCAGUCAGUGUGUGCUCUUAAGUCUCCCCUCCCCAGGCCCUGGAGGAAUGGGGAGUGAACCCACUUAGUUGCUGAGGACUUCAGUUCUUCUGGAUAUUUUAGUGACCUCACAGACAGCAAAUUAAAACAGGAGCUGAUUUAAGAAAAGAAGUGCUGGCACCAAAAAAGAACUUUCUGUUUUUACAUUGGGAUAAUUUUUAUAAGCAAGUCAAAGGGACUCUCUUUAAGUUACUGACGGAGAAGAUAUUUGAGGUUUUUUGGGGGGCCAUUUUUAGUGGCUCUGUUAUAUCCAAGCUCUUUUAGACGCUUUAGAAUGAAAAGCUGUUCUAAUGUUCCAAAAUCUAUUAGUUGGCCAAAACAUUUGGUAGCAUAUGAAGCUUUAUACAGGUUAGGGAUAUUGGAAAAGAAAUGUGACUUUUAAAACGAUACCUAAAACAUGCAUUCAAUGUCUGGUCUGUUAACUAGGGGCCAUCUGGGUCAGUAACAAGUUACCUCAUGGAGAAAAUGCAAUAGGACCAAACAAGGAAGGAAAUAGGAAGUAACUCAGUCUCUCUUGGGUUUAAUGCUAACCUGCUAAGGUCAGGCAAAAUUUAAGUGGAUUUAGAAACCAUAAAACCUUCUAGUGAGAUGACUGCAGUGACAAAGGACCUUUGACCAGAGAGUCAACUCUUCAUUAUUCAGACUUUAAAGCCAUCUUUUUGGAGGUGAUAUUGUAUUAGGCAAUCCGUUAUUUACUAGACAUUGCAGAGCACCCCUUCUAGAUGAUGAGGCGGCUAUAGGGGGAGUGAGGGCUGUGGUCCAUUCGGUUGGGAAGAUGGAACACGCAGAUAAAUCAGUGUGUGCUACAGCUCCACCGGUAACUUCACUCUCAUAAGGUGGAUUCCAGAAGCAUCUUGUUUCCAUUCUCCCCCCAGUCCUCUUCGUCUCAUCUAGCCAGUGGCUGUAAUACUGAGGUGGAGAGAACAGUCAUUGUUUAAGCUGGCUAUCUUUUGGCCUGAGGGUUUGGGGUAUGUUGAUAUUUGUCGGUUACUAUGACUUCUUUUUUUUCCCCCCUCAAUUGCAUCAAACCCUUAAAACAUGGUGAGUGAACCACUGGAACUUGGGGACAAGAUGAGUAUAACAAUGUUGCAGCCUAUCUGUCCGCUACAGUUGCAGUUUUUCAUGACAAGCAUUCAAAGUGUUAACUAAAACCAUUGAAACAACAUACCUGCCAUUUAAACUUGAAUCUAGAAAUAAUAACUCCAUGAGUGUUUUGCACCUCCAGAUGGAAUGGCCUUUAAUAAAUGCUGUGAGUAGCCAUGAUUGCCACUUGCAGUUUGCUGUUCUAUUAAUCCUUACGCAGAAUCUAACAGUUUUCUCCUUUCUUCUCUUAUCUCUCAUGGAUUUUUAAAAAACUGAACACCAUGUAGAUGAUGAACCAGCUGGACCAAUGAAAACCAACUCUACCAACAAUCACAAAGAUAAAAACUUGCGCCAGAGAAACACAAAUUAAGUACUGCUUACAAUAUCUUUAGGUUCCUGAAACUGGUGGCAACAUGACCUGCUAAAUUUUCUGCUUGGACCUCUUUGGUUCUCUCCCCUUUCAAGUGAGCAACACCACAAUGACUGUCUAAAGCAUGCCUUAUUUAGCCUCUCCUGUAAGGGUGAUCUAGCCAGGUACAUUUUAAACAAUGCUUCAGUGUAGAAGGUGUAAACUAUUUUGGGCUUGAUGUGCUGUGAAUGUUGCUUUUUUUUUUUCCUUUGUUAAAAUAUUUAAAUAGAAGUGAAAAGGUCCUCUAAGGAUCAGAUCAUGCAUGCGCCAUUUUUUACUUAAUGCAGCUGUUAAAUUGGCAAAGCUCUAAAAUGCACUGCUGCCAUCUAGUGAUACAUUUUUGUAAAGUACAGCAAAACCUACAGAUAUAUACAGUAUAUAAAUAUAUAUAUAUAUAUUUAUAUUUUUGGGGGUGGGAGAAAUCCAAAAUAAAUGCUUGUUUCAUUUUUAAGCUGCUGAUAUUCAUUCCUUAUUGUAUGUUGUCAGAUGAGGAAAUUGUGCAGUUCUGGUACAUAAAGAUGAGUAAUAUAAACUGAAAUCUAUAAUUUUAAGGGCUUAACCUGUGACUUUAAUAAGCUGGAACAGUCCACUGAAUGGGUAUAAUGAAUUGCAGUAUAUACGUAUGAUUGCUUUUUAAGUGAUUAUCUUUUCUUUUGUUAAGUCAUGUAAAUUCAUAAAUCCUUUUGCACUGAUGUGUUGAACCUUAUUCUUGUACAUUCAAUCAAGGCAAACUUUUAUAAUUUUUCUUUUGUUUCCAAUGACCUUGAAAUGUUAUAGCAUGGUGAUAUUCUAUGCAACUAUAUAGUUACACUUUUUGGUUUGACACUGUAUUUUUUCACAUUGAUUUACUGGUUGAUAGAUUUUAUAACCUAACAGGGUUCUCAUGCGGUGCGUAGAUGCAUGUACUUGUGUGUUUUGUGUAAUUAUUGAAGUGCAAUGAUGUAUAAAAAAGUGGAUUCACCUGUUUUUAAAAAUAAAACAUUGAUAAAAGGUG